GCAGGUACGCGGAGCGUAGCAAAUUCUUCACGACACCCCGAUCGAGACUCUGGAGCGCAGAGACGGCAGAGAGCACAGUAGCCAAGCGACUGGAGACUCAUCACUGGAGACUGGAGAGCAUCCGGAGCCAGUGCUCGCACCACCGCUCCCGAUUCCCAAUCGCCUUCCCGCCGCCGAAGGGGCGCCGCACUGUCCCCCGGCCUCGAUCUCUCUCGGGCCAGCCGUCGGCCGUGGCCCUGCGCCUCCUGCGUUAUCUGGCUGGAGAUCCGGCCGGAGUGCCAUUCCUACUCUCGGUCAAUAAGUAUUCUGGAAUGUUUUUCCGAGCUGAAAUAGAUAGCUUCUGGAGCUGGAUCUCAGUAUUCUGUUAGGGACAUGCUCCAACCGAGGGAAGCUGAUUUGCCUGCACUCUUUCUUGUCUUCAUUGUACUUCCUGUGGUAGCUUAUUUUCUUCUCGGGAGAUGGCAUGAUGCUGCAAGUAAGAAGGCAAGGGUAAGUGUGCUUGCUCAGCGAGCUGCAGAAGAAGCCUAUAGAGAGGAAACAAUGGCGUGCCCAGACAUUAUUCUGCCAGGGUCUUCCUUGAGAACUAUGCCCUAUUUCAGACCUAUGCCUGCAUUAAGACAGGAAUACCAUGAAUGUGCAACUUGCCAUGCCCCUGCAAAGACUCGUUGCUCCAGAUGCAAGGCUGUUAGAUAUUGCUCUGGGAAGUGUCAAAUAGUACACUGGAGGCAAGGACAUAAGGAAACAUGCCAAAAGUGGCUUGGUAGUGGUUCUAGCAGCUUUGGUGGAUCUAGCACUGAGGCUACUGAACAGAUGCCGUUCUUGACUAACUUAAAUUCACCUCUUCCGGGUGGUGACAUUCACUUGCGUGACUUGAACUUCGAUACUUUAUCAGAACCAUCCUUUCCCACAACUGAUGGUUAUAAUCUAGAUACUGAUCCAUUUUUGGCAGACAGAAGCAACAUGAAUAAAUCAAAUCAAGGUAUUCAUAUGAGCGAAAAUGGUGCUGUUGGUGUAUCUUUUGAAAAGAAUAAUUAUAAUGCUGAUGAUGAAAUCCACUCACCGGAAAAUUUAUCUAGAAACAAGGUGUCAAACAACUAUUUUGGUUCAGAUGCAAUAAGUGGUAAUGGGGAUGCAAUUUAUCCUGCCAAAAGUAAUGCACAGCAGCCUAGCAGCUGUGCUCCUGACAUGAGAAAACAGCCAAAAGCAAGCAUCACAGUUUAUCAGCCUGACAUAGGUGUCUAUUUAACUUCUGACAUGGUCAGUUCUUGUGAGGGGUCAUAUGCUUCUGCCAGUGAGCCACUGCAAAGGAGCUUGUCAUCUGGAAGAACUAUUGGGAAAGCAAACGCGGUGAAUAAGAGGCCUCCAUACCCAUCAAGUAAGGUGGUUUCAGCACAAAAGCCACAGGAUAGGGUGUCUACAUCAUAUCAAAAUGAUGGCCAUGAGAAGAAUCCUUGCAACAAAAAUGACCAAAGAUCUACCCCCAAAUGUGAAUCAAGUCAAUCAACAAGCAGCAAUCUACAAAAGUUUGGAGCAUCCAAGGUUGAAGUUUUAAAGAAGCCUUCAAAAUUUCUCAAAACCAGCCUUGUGGGAUUGAUCAAUGAUAAUAAGAGGAACAAGGUAUUGUUCCCAUAUGAAGAUCUUGUCAAGUUUUUUCAGUAUGAAGCCCGGGGUAUUUCCCCUAGAGGUCUUUUCAAUUGUGGAAACAGCUGCUAUGCUAAUGCUGUUCUUCAAUGUCUCAUGUGCACAAAGCCACUGAUGAUCUACCUUCUUCUGAGAUUGCAUUCUAAAGAUUGUUCUUCAAAAAAAUGGUGCCUUAUGUGUGAACUUGAGCAAUAUGCUUCAACUUUACGUGAAAGUGGUGGGCCCUUAUCUCCAAGUAGAAUUCUUUCUAAUCUGAGGAAUAUUGGAUGUCGCUUGGGUGGUGGAACUCAGGAAGAUGCUCAUGAGUUUUUAAGGCAUCUUGUGAUGUCUAUGCAAGCAGCUUGCUUGGAUGGGCUGGGUGGUGAGAAGCAUGUUGAGCCAAGUUUGCAGGAAACAACACUGAUACAACAGAUGUUUGGUGGCCGUCUUAAAUCCAAGGUUAAGUGCCUCAGAUGUUAUCACGAGUCUGAACGAUAUGAGAAUAUAAUGGAUCUUACUUUGGAGAUUCACGGCUGGGUAGAGUCCUUGCAGGAUGCUUUGACACAGUUCACUGCCCCUGAAGAUUUAGAUGGUGAUAAUAUGUAUAAAUGUGGAAGUUGUGCUGCCUAUGUUAAAGCCAGGAAGCAACUGAGCGUGCAUGAGGUGCCAAACAUAUUAACAGUUGUUCUUAAAAGAUUUCAGUCAGGAAAAUAUGGCAAGAUCAACAAAUGUGUUACUUUCCCUGAUAUGUUGGACAUGGUUCCUUUUGUGACUGGGUCUGGUGACAAUCCCCCUCUUUAUUUCUUGUAUGCCGUGGUUGUACAUGUGGAUACAGAAAAUGCAUCAUUCUCUGGGCACUAUAUAUCAUAUGUCAAAGAUAUGCAGGGUACAUGGUUGAGAAUUGAUGAUUCAGAGGUCCAGGUUGUAUCAGUGAAUCAAGUUAUGUCAGAAGGUGCAUAUAUGCUUUUCUACAUGAGGUCUUUCCCCCGACCACCAAGAAUAUACAUCGAGAAGGGGCCGACUGUUCCAUCCGCGAAGCGCCACACAUCAAAGUAUUCCAAGGGCUCUAAACACGAGCGCGAGCAGACAGAGUUACUCCUCUCGGCGAACGAUCCAGCAUACGGUGUUUAUGACUUUAGACCUGAUGGCGAGGGCUACACGCAAGAUCAGCAAGCAGAGUUGAGAUCCAGGGAUUUCCAUCGCGCCGACGAUGCCUUCGCAGACUCGGUCAGCGCGGACUUCUCGGAGGCCACGUCAAGCGAAUGGUCGCUGUUUACCAGCUCCGACGAGUCCUCAUUCACCACCGAGAGCACAAGGGACUCGUUCAGCGUUGUGGACUACGGCGACAACGCUGGCCUGGACCCAAUCUCCUCGAUAUUUGGGCCAAGCUAUGCUCCGGAGCAUCAUCCCGGUCCACCUGGCAGUUUCGCCGCGUGCACGAGGCUCUCGCCUUCCAACCCACAGACAAGGUACUUCUCGGAGAGCACAGGGUUCGUCUCGGACUACUCUUCCAGCGGCAUUGUACAUAGAGGAAGGGAUCCAGGUAGGGCAUACACCUGUUCAGCGGAACCGCUCGCUUCGGCUGCGGCGGCGCACCAGCACCAGCGGUACGCCCUUAGCGGCCGAGACGGUUUGGUCCAGACAUCUGGGUUCUGCCAAAUGUAACCGGCUUUACGAUUUCGUAGCUAUAGCUGUAGCUGGUGCUCGGGCAGCUGCGGUUUAGCACUGCCACUGAUGCUGCUGCCUCUAUGUUCUUUUUAUUUCAGGUGAAAUUUUAGAGCGCGGUGGAGCUGCUCCGGUUGAAGCCAUCCCCCGAGGCCCGAACCAGUAAAUUACGCCGAAUCCGGCAGUCGUAUGGCCCUGCACACCAGUGCUUUGUGAAAAGCUUGCAGAUUCAUCAAUUGACGUGCACUUGCCUUUUAUAUGGACGCUGACGUAUGGAGGUGCACACUCUCCACCUCCGUAUAUCUCGCCACCUACUCUGUUUAUAUUAGAAGGUUGAUUGCUGACACACAACACCUGCUCGUACUUUUUUGUCGAAAUCAUGACGGACAACAACGCUAAACAUAUAGUACAA